AUGGAACAUUACAACACUAGAUAAAUCGAAUCAAUAUUGCUCUAAAUAUUGAACCGUUAGAUGAUAAAAAAAAAAAACCCUCAAAGCUAUGUCCAUAACUCCUUUGCUCUUUCCUCUCCUAGGCUUAGCAGCCGAGGUGGACCAGCUGGUGUUUUCACAAUCUGCAGAGACAUACAGGGAAGGACGAUGGGGGGACCACAUGGUGGAAAAUAUUCAAUGUCAUACCACGGAUGUGCAAAAGAAGAAAGAAAUCCUAUUUGGAACUGAAGUCAGCCAGUUGGAAUUUUCAGAAGGAAAUCCUGGCAGCACGCGGUAUUUGAGGCAUUAUAUAAACAUCUGAUACUUGACUCAGUAACUAUCAGCACUUGGUGUCAGCAUAUAAAUGUUGGGUUGGAAAAGUAGACAAAUUGAUUUUCCAUUCCUCUCAUUCUAGUUUCUUCCUUUCAUUGAUGCUAUAGUCACGGAUCUUAUUACUAGCAUAACAGUCAGUAACAUACACAUGUUAUUUCUCUAGUUAAAGAAUAAUUCUUUUCAAAGCUCUAUAAUGUGAUAAACUGACCCUGAAUUAUGACCAUAAAAAUAAUAAUUUACUCUUUUCUCCAAAGCUAUCAAAAAAUUCUCAAGCUCUAUAACCUAUAAACUGUCUAACCUUAAGC
ensembl:lincRNA